AGUGAACGCUGGCGGUAGGCCUAACACAUGCAAGUCGAACGGCAGCACAGUAAGAGCUUGCUCUUACGGGUGGCGAGUGGCGGACGGGUGAGGAAUACAUCGGAAUCUACUUUUUCGUGGGGGAUAACGUAGGGAAACUUACGCUAAUACCGCAUACGACCUACGGGUGAAAGCAGGGGAUCUUCGGACCUUGCGCGAUUGAAUGAGCCGAUGUCGGAUUAGCUAGUUGGCGGGGUAAAGGCCCACCAAGGCGACGAUCCGUAGCUGGUCUGAGAGGAUGAUCAGCCACACUGGAACUGAGACACGGUCCAGACUCCUACGGGAGGCAGCAGGGGGGAAUAUUGGACAAUGGGCGCAAGCCUGAUCCAGCCAGACCGCGUGGGUGAAGAAGGCCUUCGGGUUGUAAAGCCCUUUUGUUGGGAAAGAAAAGCAGCAGGUUAAUACCCCGCUGUUCUGACGGUACCCAAAGAAUAAGCACCGGCUAACUUCGU
rnacentral:rRNA from 1 species